UUUCCGUAGGUGAACCUGCGGAAGGAUCAUUAUCGUGCAAAAUGUGUGGGGCACGCUCGGGCUGUCGCUGACUCAAAAGGUCGUGCACGCCGGAGCGUGUCCUCUCACAUAACACAAUCCAUCUCACCCUUUGUGUACCACCGCGUGGGCCCCCUCCUCGGAGGGGGCUCGCGUUUUCACACAAACCCCCCUCUAAAAAGUGUAGAAUGUCUCUAGUUUAUGCAAUCAAUACAACUUUCAACAACGGAUCUCUUGGCUCUC
rnacentral:misc_RNA from 1 species